rnacentral:lncRNA from 1 species
UUCCAAUAGAGAAUAUUUGGUUAUCAACACUAAUGCCCCCACCAGCUGUAGAUAUGAACUCAGGUGCUCCGUAAGGGUUAGCAGACUCUGUUCCAAAAGAAAAUAUUUGGUAACCACCACUAAUGCCCCCACCAACUGUAGAUAUGAACUCAGGUGCUCCGUGAGGGUUAGCAGUUUCUGUUCCAACAGGGAAUAUUUGUUUACCCACACUAAUGCCCCCACCAGCUGUAGAUAUGAACUCAGGUGCUCCGUGAGGGUUAGCAGUUUCUGUUCCAAUAGAGAAUAUUUGGUAACCAACACUUUUGCCCCCACCAGCUGUAGAUAUGAACUCAGGUGCUCCGUGAGGGUUAGCAGUUUCUGUUCCAAUAGAGAAUAAUGGUUGCCCACACUAAUGCCCCC